rnacentral:rRNA from 1 species
CGCACGGGUGAGUAACGCGUAACUGACCUACCCCGAAGUCUGGAAUAACUGGUCGAAAGAUCAGCUAAUACCGGAUACCCAGAUGACUCAUGAGUCAUCUGGAAAGAUUUAUUGCUUUGGGAUGGGGUUACGUUCCAUCAGCUGGUUGGUAGGGUAAAGGCCUAUCAAGGCGACGACGGAUAGCCGGCCUGAGAGGGUGGCCGGCCACAGGGGCACUGAGACACGGGUCCC